CAGGAAGAAAAAUAUGGCUCAGAGACCCUUUAAGUGCACGCAGACAUGCCAAGAACAGUAUCUAAGAAAUGCAACAUCACAUACAAUAUGAUAAAGUGUUUGCGGCAGUUUCUCAAAUGCAAAGGAGCUAUGUGCAUCACAGAGAGGUUUGCAUCAAGUGGUUUGACAAAGUCAAAUUCA
rnacentral:lncRNA from 1 species